UACGUAGGUGGCAAGCGUUGUCCGGAAUCACUGGGCGUAAAGCGCGCGCAGGCGGCGAUCUACGUCUGGGGUGAAAGCCCGGAGCUCAACUCCGGGACUGCCUUGGAUACGGGAUCGCUUGAGGAUUGGAGAGGCAAGGGGAAUUCCACGUGUAGCGGUGAAAUGCGUAGAUAUGUGGAGGAACACCAAUGGCGAAGGCAGCUCGCUGGGACGUUACUGACGCUGAGACGCGAAAGCGUGGGGAGCAAACAGG
rnacentral:rRNA from 1 species